rnacentral:rRNA from 1 species
AUUGAACGCUGGCGGCAGGCCUAACACAUGCAAGUCGAGCGGAUGAAGGGAGCUUGCUCCUGGAUUCAGCGGCGGACGGGUGAGUAAUGCCUAGGAAUCUGCCUGGUAGUGGGGGAUAACGUCCGGAAACGGGCGCUAAUACCGCAUACGUCCUGAGGGAGAAAGUGGGGGAUCUUCGGACCUCACGCUAUCAGAUGAGCCUAGGUCGGAUUAGCUAGUUGGUGGGGUAAAGGCCUACCAAGGCGACGAUCCGUAACUGGUCUGAGAGGAUGAUCAGUCACACUGGAAGUGGAACACGGUCCAGACUCCUACGGGAGGCAGCAGUGGGGAAUAUUGGACGGUGGGCGAAAGCAUGAUCCAGCAAUGGCGCGUGUGUGAAGAAGGUCUUCGGAUUUUAAAGCACUUUAAGUUGGGGGGAAGGGCAGUAAGUUAAUACCUUGCUGUUUUGACGUUACCAACAGAAUAAGCACCGGCUAACUUCGUG